GUGAGGAAUAUUGCGCAAUGGAGGCAACUCUGACGCAGCCAUGCCGCGUGCAGGAAGAAGGCGCUACGCGUUGUAAACUGCUUUUAACCGGGAAGAAACCCCAGGACGUGUCCUGGGUUGACGGUACCGGAGGAAUAAGCACCGGCUAACUUCGUGCCAGCAGCCGCGGUAAUACGAAGGGUGCAAGCGUUAUCCGGAUUCAUUGGGUUUAAAGGGUGCGUAGGCGGAGCGUUAAGUCAGUGGUGAAAUCCUGCAGCUUAACUGUAGACUUGCCGUUGAUACUGGGGCUAUUGAGUGCGCUUGAAGUGGGCGGAAUGUGCCGUGUAGCGGUGAGAUGCUUAGAUAUGGCACAGAACACCAAUUGCGAAGGCAGCUCACUAAGGCGAUACUGACGCUGAGGCACGAAAGCGUGGGGAUCGAACAGGAUUAGAAACCCGGGUAGUCC
rnacentral:rRNA from 1 species